UACGGAGGGUGCAAGCGUUAUCCGGAUUCACUGGGUUUAAAGGGUGCGUAGGUGGGUUGGUAAGUCAGUGGUGAAAUCUCCAGGCUUAACUUGGAAACUGCCAUUGAUACUAUCAAUCUUGAAUACCGUGGAGGUCAGCGGAAUAUGUCAUGUAGCGGUGAAAUGCUUAGAUAUGACAUAGAACACCAAUUGCGAAGGCAGCUGGCUACACGAAUAUUGACACUGAUGCACGGAAAGCGUAGGGAUCAAAACAGG
rnacentral:rRNA from 1 species